rnacentral:lncRNA from 1 species
UGCACCAACAGCAUCAUUUCCCUUCAUCCCCAAAGGAAUGUUUGGCAUCUUUCUGCAAAGACCUAUCUAGAAGCAACACUUCUCUCCCUCUGUCCCUCUGUCCCCCCUCCCUCCCUCCCUCUCCCCCAUGCGCCCCCCCCAACACCCCCCCCCCCCCGCCCCCGUCAUGGUGCAUUUCCACCGGCGCUUGGUGCUGCUGAGCCCGAGCGAGUCUGGGCUCCUCCCGCGGGGCUCCCGUCCCGGCCGGAGGGAAGCGGAGCGCAGCCCUUGGUCUCCCCGGGGUCUCCCGGCCGCGGUCCCCUCCAGGGGGAGCGGGGCACCCCGCGGAGUCCCAGCCCCCCCGCCCCCCCGCGGCCCCUCCCCCGCGGUCGCGCCCUGCGGCGUCGCCUUGGCUUUCCUGCUCCCGCUUCCUGCGCGCGCCGCCGGGGAACCCGCUUGGCGGAGGAGCCGCGGCUGGGGGGCUGGGGGGGCCUGGGGGGCCUGGGGGGCCUGGGGGGCUGGCGGCGCGGAGCGAGCUGCGCUCCCCACCCCCGGCCCUCCUGCCGCCCCGCGGCCCCGGCCCGGCCCCCGGCCCUGUCCCCCAUCCCUGUCCCCGUCCCUGUCGCCAUCCCUGUCCUGACCUGUCCCCAUCCCUGUCCUGCCCCAGUCCCCGUCCCUGUCCCCCGUCCCCUGCCCCAGUCCCCGUCCCUGUCCCCGUCCUGUCCCCGGCGGCCCCGCCCCCGCACUCGGGGGAAGCCGGGUCCUGCCCAACCCCAGCUCCCGGAGGCCUGCGCUCUGUGCUGCCGGCACAGGUGGCCGGGGCGGGGGUCCCAGGGCGGGGAGUGGCCGCGACAGAGGCUGGGGGGGUGGGUGGGGGCCAGGACGGACAGGGACAGGGAUCUGGCCAUCGCCCGGCCCACGGAACUCCAACCCGGUCUCCAGGGCCGUGGGUGUGGUUCUGAACUGUGGUCUUUGAUUUUUCCUAGGAUGAUGUGCAAGGGGGUCCACAAGUCGCCCCCCAAAGUCUGUGUCCUUUGA